rnacentral:rRNA from 1 species
CCUACGGGUGGCAGCAGUCGAGAAUCAUUCACAAUGGGGGAAACCCUGAUGGUGCGACGCCGCGUGGGGGAAUGAAGGUCUUCGGAUUGUAAACCCCUGUCAUGUGGGAGCAAAUUAAAACGAUCGUACCACAAGCGGUAGAGACGGCUAACUCUGUGCCAGCAGCCGCGGUAAUACAGAGGUCUCAAGCGUUGUUCGGAAUCACUGGGCGUAAUGCGGGCGUAGGCUGUUUCGUAAGUCGUGUGUGAAAGGCGCGGGCUCAACCCGCGGACGGCACAUGAUACUGCGAGACGAGAGUAAGGGAGGGGGAACCGGAAUUCUCGGUGUAGCAGUGAAAUGCGUAGAUAUCGAGAGGAACACUCGUGGCGAAGGCGGGUUACUGGACAGUAACUGACGCUGAGGCACGAAGGCCAGGGGAGCGAAAGGGAUUAGAUACCCGAGUAGUC